rnacentral:lncRNA from 1 species
CACUAGGCAUUGUUCUAAGUUCUCUCCACGAGCCAUUGUAGCUGUCUUUCUUAGUUAUCCUCCUAGUUACAAGGGUUACAAGCUCUUUGAUCUCAUAACUAAUGAUGUCUUAGUUUCUCAGGAUGCAAUGUUUCAUGAACACAUGUUUUCUUUCCAUUCCAAUUCUCCAUCAAUCAUUAAUUCUGAUUGUGUCUUACCCUUUCAUUCCUCUAUUG